rnacentral:lncRNA from 1 species
AAAUGUGUUGCUAAAUUUAAAAUAGAAAACUAUCAUCAUUAUUGCCUUAGGUUUUGAUGAGUUUUUUUUCUUCGUGUUUUUCAUUGUAAUUCUGCAAAACAAAUAUGAGACACCCUUCAAAUUACCCAUGAUGGUAAAAUCAAGGUAAGAAGGUUAAAUGAGAAUAUUGAUAUAUGAGUAUGAAUUGUUUAAAAGGAAACCUGAAUAAAAU